rnacentral:rRNA from 1 species
GUCCGUGCCGUAAACGAUGUUCACUAGAUGUCGGAAGAUUUGACCCUUUCGGUAUCGCAGCUAACGCAUUAAGUGAACCGCCUGGGGAGUACGGUCGCAAGACUAAAACUCAAAGGAAUUGACGGGGGCCCCGCACAAGCGGUGGAGUAUGUGGUUUAAUUCGACGCAACACGAAGAACCUUACCUGGAUUAGAAAUCAACUGGACGACCUGUAGAGAUAUGGGUCUCUCCCGCAAGGGAGUCGGUUGACAGGUGCUGCAUGGCUGUCGU